AUUGAACGCUAGCGGGAUGCCUUACACAUGCAAGUCGAACGGAGUGGCGAACGGGUGAGUAAUGUAGCGGAAAGUGCCCAGUAGCGGGGGAUAAAUACGCGAAAGCGUAGAUAAUACCGCAUACUAUUGGAGCGGCCGAUAUCGGAUUAGCUAGUUGGGGGGGUAACGGCUAACAAAGGCGACGAUCCGUAGCGGGUUUGAGAGGACGACCAGCCAAACUGGGACUGAGAAACGGCCCAGAUUCCUACGUGAGGCAGCAGUGGGGAAUUUUUGACAAUGGUGUAAACCCUGAGCCAGCCAUCCCGCGUGUGCGAUGAAGGCCUUCGGGUUGUAAAGCACUUUUGGCAGGAAAGCGGUACCUGCAGAAUAAGCACCGGCUAACUACGUGCCAGCAGCCGCGGUAAUAC
rnacentral:rRNA from 1 species